UACGGGGGGGGGCAAGCGUUGUUCGGAAUUACUGGGCGUAAAGCGCGCGUAGGCGGCUUUGUAAGUUAGAGGUGAAAGCCCGAAGCUCAACUUCGGAAUUGCCUUUAAGACUGCAUCGCUAGAAUUGUGGAGAGGUAAGUGGAAUUCCGAGUGUAGAGGUGAAAUUCGUAGAUAUUCGGAAGAACACCAGUGGCGAAGGCGACUUACUGGACACAUAUUGACGCUGAGGUGCGAAAGCGUGGGGAGCAAACAGG
rnacentral:rRNA from 1 species